rnacentral:rRNA from 1 species
UACGGGGGGGGCAAGCGUUGUUCGGAAUUACUGGGCGUAAAGGGCUUGUAGGUGGCCAACUAAGUCAGACGUGAAAUCCCUCGGCUUAACCGGGGAACUGCGUCUGAUACUGGAUGGCUGGAGUGUGGGAGAGGGAUGCGGAAUUCCAGGUGUAGCGGUGAAAUGCGUAGAUAUCAGGAGGAACACCGGUGGCGAAGGCGGUUCUCUGGGCAUGAUCUGACGCUGAGGAGCGAAAGUGUGGGGAGCGAACAGG